AGCGAACGCUGGCGGCAGGCUUAACACAUGCAAGUCGAACGGUCCUUCGGGAUAGUGGCGGACGGGUGAGUAACACGUGGGAACGUACCCUUAGGUUCGGAACAACACAGGGAAACUUGUGAUAAUACCGGAUAAGCCCUUCGGGGGAAAGAUUUAUCGCCUUUGGAGCGGCCCGCGUCUGAUUAGCUUGUUGGUGAGGUAAUGGCUCACCAAGGCUACGAUCAGUAGCUGGUCUGAGAGGGUGGCCAGCCACACUGGGACUGAGACACGGCCCAGACUCCUACGGGAGGCAGCAGUGGGGAAUCUUGCGCAAUGGGCGAAAGCCUGACGCAGCCAUGCCGCGUGGAUGAUGAAGGUCUUAGGAUUGUAAAAUCCUUUCACCGGGGACGAUAAUGACGGUACCCGGAGAAGAAGCCCCGGCUAACUUCGUGCCAGCCGCCGCGGUAA
rnacentral:rRNA from 1 species